rnacentral:rRNA from 1 species
AGCGGCGGACGGGUGAGUAAUGCCUAGGAAUCUGCCUGGUAGUGGGGGAUAACGUUCGGAAACGGACGCUAAUACCGCAUACGUCCUACGGGAGAAAGCAGGGGACCUUCGGGCCUUGCGCUAUCAGAUGAGCCUAGGUCGGAUUAGCUAGUUGGUGGGGUAAUGGCUCACCAAGGCGACGAUCCGUAACUGGUCUGAGAGGAUGAUCAGUCACACUGGAACUGAGACACGGUCCAGACUCCUACGGGAGGCAGCAGUGGGGAAUAUUGGACAACGGGCGAAAGCCUGAUCCAGCCAUGCCGCGUGUGUGGAGAAGGUCUUCGGAUUGUAAAGCACUUUAAGUUGGGAGGAAGGGCAGUAAAUUAAUACUUUGCUGUUUUGACGUUACCGACAGAAUAAGCACCGGCUAACUCUGUGCCAGCAGCCGCGGUAAUACAGAGGGUGCAAGCGUUAAUCGGAAUUACUGGGCGUAAAGCGCGCGUAGGUGGUUCGUUAAGUUGGAUGUGAAAUCCCCGGGCUCAACCUGGGAACUGCAUUCAAAACUGACGAGCUAGAGUAUGGUAGAGGGUGGUGGAAUUUCCUGUGUAGCGGUGAAAUGCGUAGAUAUAGGAAGGAACACCAGUGGCGAAGGCGACCACCUGGACUGAUACUGACACUGAGGUGCGAAAGCGUGGGGGAGCAAACAGGAUUAGAUACCCUGGUAGUCCACGCCGUGAACGAUGUCAACUAGCCGU